UACGUAGGUGGCGAGCGUUGUCCGGAUUUACUGGGCGUAAAGAGCGCGCAGGCGGUCGUACAAGUCGCGUGUGAAAGCCCCCGGCUCAACUGGGGAGGGUCACGCGAUACUGUUCGACUCGAAGGCAGGAGAGGGAAGUGGAAUUCCCGGUGUAGUGGUGAAAUGCGUAGAUAUCGGGAGGAACACCAGUGGCGAAGGCGACUUCCUGGCCUGUUCUUGACGCUGAGGCGCGAAAGCUAGGGUAGCAAACGGGGAU
rnacentral:rRNA from 1 species